rnacentral:rRNA from 1 species
AAAGUGGAUUAGCGCGGACGGGUGAGUAACACGUGAGUAACCUGCCUUAGACAUUGGGAUAGCCUCGGGAAACCGGGAUUAAUACCAAAUAAAAUCAUAAUGACACAUGUCAUAACGAUCAAAACUCCGGUGGUCUAAGAUGGACUCGCGUCCCAUUAGCUAGUUGGUAGAGUAAAAGCCUACCAAGGCGACGAUGGGUAGCCGGCCUGAGAGGGUGAACGGCCACAUUGGAACUGAGAAACGGUCCAA